rnacentral:rRNA from 1 species
UACAGAGGUCCCAAGCGUUGUUCGGAUUCACUGGGCGUAAAGGGUGCGUAGGUGGCCGGGUAAGUCUGACGUGAAAUCUCCGAGCCUAACUCGGAAACUGCAUCGGAUACUAUCCGGCUUGAGGGUUGGAGGGGGGACUGGAAUACUUGGUGUAGCAGUGAAAUGCGUAGAUAUCUGGAGGAACACCGGUGGCGAAGGCGGCAUCCUGGACCGGUAUUGACGCUGAGGCGCGAAAGCUAGGGGAGCAAACGGG